rnacentral:rRNA from 1 species
GUUGAACGCUGGCGGCAGGCCUAACACAUGCAAGUCGAACGGUAACAGGAAGAAGCUUGCUUCUUUGCUGACGAGUGGCGGACGGGUGAGUAAUGUCUGUGAAACUGCCUGAUGGAGGGGGGUAACUACUGGAAACGGUAGCUAAUACCGCAUAACGUCGCAAGACCAAAGAGGGGGACCUUCGGGCCUCUUGCCAUCGGAUGUGCCCAGAUGGGAUUAGCUAGUAGGUGGGGUAACGGCUCACCUAGGCGACGAUCCCUAGCUGGUCUGAGAGGAUGACCAGCCACACUGGAACUGAGACACGGUCCAGACUCCUACGGGAGGCAGCAGUGGGGAAUAUUGCACAAUGGGCGCAAGCCUGAUGCAGCCAUGCCGCGUGGAUGAAGAAGGCCUUCGGGUUGUAAAGUACUUUCAGCGGGGAGGAAGGGAGGAAAGUUAAUACCUUUGCGCAUUGACGUUACCCGCAGAAGAAGCACCGGCUAACUCCGUG